rnacentral:rRNA from 1 species
GGUUCGAGGUGUAAGCACAGUAAUGUGUUUAGCUGACGAAUACUAAUAGGUCGAGGGCUUGACCAA